ACCGAAGAGUGCAAUCACGGGAGACAGACAUCGGGUGCUAACGUCCGGUGUCAAGAGGGAAACAACCCAGACCGCCAGCUAAGGUCCCCAAAUAUGGCUAAGUGGGAAACGAAGUGGGAAGGCUAAAACAGUCAGGAGGUUGGCUUAGAAGCAGCCACCCUUUAAAGAAAGCGUAAUAGCUCACUGAUCGAGUCGUCCUGCGCGGAAGAUGUAACGGGGCUAAGCCAUAUACCGAAGCUGCGGAUGCGAGCUAGUCUCGCAUGGUAGGAGAGCGUUCCGUAAGCCUGCGAAGGUGCGUUGAAAAGCGUGCUGGAGGUAUCGGAAGUGCGAAUGCUGACAUGAGUAGCGAUAAAGGGGGUGAAAGGCCCCCUCGCCGUAAGCCCAAGGUUUCCUACGCAACGUUCAUCGGCGUAGGGUGAGUCG
rnacentral:rRNA from 1 species